CUCAGACUGAUAGCUCAGUCGGUAGAGCGUGAGACUCUCGGGGUCGUGGGUUUGAGCUCCACGUUGGAGA